CGGAGGGCCGCGGUGCGGAGAGCCUGGUGGGGCUUUCCUUACAAAGAGCGUGGAAACGCGGGGACGCUGGGUAAAUUGACAGCCGUUUCCAGAACACAGGCUCAAUAAUAUCUACCGUGCGAGGUCCUGGGAACAUGGAAACACACAUCCUGACCUUGCAGGCUCAUCACUUUUGAGGAAGAUCCCACCGUGAAAGAAGGGAACAAUGGGGACGAUGCCGAGCUGCGCCCUGCGGGUCUCCUGGACACGAAGGUCUCUUUGUCCCCCGUUUCUUGUAGGCAAGACUCCAGCCUCCACGACCUUCUCUGAGUCCCAAAGGGCAGAACAGUUGCUAAUCAAGGGAGGAGCAGCCAGGAAACCACCUGAGGCAAGAUUAAAGGGCCAUCAAGAAUUAGGAGACCUAACUAUCCAAGCCGCUGCACACCCUAACCUUGUCAGCAACCUCACCCUUUUGAAACUUUGCAGAAUGUUACCAUCUUGAUCCUUCUCAGGUACCCUUGCCAGACUAUAUAACCCCUCCCUAUUUACCAGGGAGGGGGGCACAGUUCUUGAGGUGCUAGCCUACUGUGUUCCCCCUUGACUGGCAAAGUAAUAAAGCCACUCUUUCCUUCUCCUACAUAACUGUCUCCAUGUUUCUGUUUGGCACUGGUGCACAGAGCCAAAAUUUGAGCAACGAGACC